rnacentral:lncRNA from 1 species
GUAAGUGCUCAUGUUUGGGUUCGGUUUAAAAUGAGCCUGGAGGCAGGUAGAGUCUAUCUGACCCCACCACGGAUAUAGAGGACGUGAGUGGUACUCCCAGGGGCUGUUUCCUUAGUUAGCUCUGGGCUAAUCUCCACUGGCUUGCUUCUCCUUCCAGAAAUAUAUUAGUAUUUUAACCAGGCUGCUAGAAACCCAAAAGCUUUUGGAAGGCAAAGGGCUCCAUCUCCAAUUGGGAGAGCUGGGGCAGAGAGGAGUAGGGGCCCAUCACCAUGGUAAAGCAAGGUGUACCUUAGAGAAAGAGGUCUGAGAUCCUCUCAUUUCAUUCCUAGGGCAGGAACAGGGUCUUCAAAACCAGCUCAGACUUGGGCCUGGAGGCUCAGCCUGCUCCCUUCAAAUCCCUGCUCCAUCUCCCAGAGUUAUCUGAAGUAGAAGGUGCUUUGGUAGGAGAUAGAAGAUGCCCUGGGCCUUGCUGUGGGGGCCUAGCAGCUUGUCGCUGGCGGAAGGCCAGCCCUGCAGGGGUAGCUGGAGCAGCUGUAGAAGCUGCAGGGGAAACAGAGACCCUACAAGCAAUAAAACAAGGAGAAAAAUGGCAACCCCAUAUCACUUCUAAGCCACCCAGCAUUCCUGGCUCUCACCCUGCGGAACUGCCUUGCCUCCCUGGGCACGCCCUCUGGAGCUGCACCUGCCCACCUCCAACAUGACACCCUGAGUGGCUCAUUGGGAAGAUCCCUGCUGGUUUAGGAAGGCUGGGAAAGACCCAAGUCUUCUUGAGAGACCUCCCUCGCCAUCGGCUCACCUCCCCUCUUCAACAUUAACUCCUCCACUAGUCCCUGAAGUAGCCCCUGUACAAAGAUAAGACCAGCUGGCUGAGUGGUAAUGAGUGCUGUGUCCAUGUACCCUGCCCUCUGGGGGGCCCUGGCUGCCCACCUGGGAACAGCAGCAUAGUUAUCUCAUAAUCUUGUCAUGUUCGAAGC